rnacentral:lncRNA from 1 species
AAGAAAAUAGAGUGGAAAGAGUUUGGGAAUGGAGGAAUCGACAUCCUCCCCUCUUUCGAAUCACUCACGAAUAUGUAAUCUAACUCUCGUACCUUAGUUCGACGAAUCCACAAGCUUGCUCUACUCUUCUCUCCCACGAGCUCCUCCUCUUGCUCUUUCCCUAGCACUUCUCUUGCUCUUUCUCAAGAAUUGUAACUUAUGAGACUAUUCAUGGUUGACUUGCUACUUAUAGCUCUCUCUAUUCUCAUGGAUCAAAGCCCAAUUGGCUAAGCCCAAUAACCACUUACACGCCCCAAGGCCCAAUCAACAUAACUUCUCGCUCAUUAACUUACGUUCUC